AGGGUAGCUUGGUGACUAAAUUCAUUUAUCUGAGCAACAGAUGCAGCACAAGCAGCGGUAGUAGCUUCACAAUGCUGCCCUGCCAGUAUGCUUCAGCAUUGCCUGAGGGACCAUCUCUAGGGAUGAAAUAGUAGUUCAGUCUCAGUGCCGUUUUGUACUUGGCCUGU
ensembl:misc_RNA